rnacentral:rRNA from 1 species
GACGAACGCUGGCGGCGUGCCUAAUACAUGCAAGUAGAACGCUGAAGAGAGGAGCUUGCUCUUCUUGGAUGAGUUGCGAACGGGUGAGUAACGCGUAGGUAACCUGCCUUGUAGCGGGGGAUAACUAUUGGAAACGAUAGCUAAUACCGCAUAACAAUGGAUGACACAUGUCAUUUAUUUGAAAGGGGCAAAUGCUCCACUACAAGAUGGACCUGCGUUGUAUUAGCUAGUAGGUGAGGUAACGGCUCACCUAGGCGGCGAUACAUAGCCGACCUGAGAGGGUGAUCGGCCACACUGGGACUGAGACACGGCCCAGACUCCUACGGGAGGCAGCAGUAGGGAAUCUUCGGCAAUGGGGGCAACCCUGACCGAGCAACGCCGCGUGAGUGAAGAAGGUUUUCGGAUCGUAAAGCUCUGUUGUAAGUCAAGAACGAGUGUGAGAGUGGAAAGUUCACACUAUGACG